GAGGUCACACCUGUUCUCAUGCCGAACACAGAAGUUAAGUUCUCCAGCGCCGAUGGUAGUUGGGGCUUUGCCCCUGCAAGAGUAGGACGCCGCCAGGCA
rnacentral:rRNA from 1 species